AGUGAACGCUGGCGGUAGGCCUAACACAUGCAAGUCGAACGGCAGCACAGUAAGAGCUUGCUCUUACGGGUGGCGAGUGGCGGACGGGUGAGGAAUACAUCGGAAUCUACUUUUUCGUGGGGGAUAACGUAGGCAAACUUACGCUAAUACCGCAUACGACCUACGGGUGAAAGCAGGGGAUCUUCGGACCUUGCGCGAUUGAAUGAGCCGAUGUCGGAUUAGCUAGUUGGCGGGGUAAAGGCCCACCAAGGCGACGAUCCGUAGCUGGUCUGAGAGGAUGAUCAGCCACACUGGAACUGAGACACGGUCCAGACUCCUACGGGAGGCAGCAGUGGGGAAUAUUGGACAAUGGGCGCAAGCCUGAUCCAGCCAUACCGCGUGGGUGAAGAAGGCCUUCGGGUUGUAAAGCCCUUUUGUUGGGAAAGAAAAGCAGCAGGUUAAUACCCCGCUGUUCUGACGGUACCCAAAGAAUAAGCACCGGCUAACUUCGUG
rnacentral:rRNA from 1 species